rfam:Myceliophthora thermophila ATCC 42464 chromosome 4, complete sequence.
GGUCGGAUGGCGCAAUGGUAGCGUGUGGUCCUCCUAAAGGGGAGAAUCAGACUGAGGUUGUGGGUUCGAGUCCCAUUCCGAUCG